rnacentral:rRNA from 1 species
GGCGGUGUUUUAGUCUAGUUAGAGGAACCUGUUUUAUAAACGAUACAACACGCAUUAUCUUACUUGUUUUAGUAAUUCAGUUUGUAUACCGUCAUUAUAAGAUAAUUUAGGAGAAAAUAUUGUUGGAAUCAUAUUAUUGAGUAUAUUAGAUCAAGGUGCAGCUUAUAAGUAAGUAAAUAUGGGUUACAAUAAAAUUUAUUUAGUAUGAAUUAAGUAUUUAAAUGUAUUUAUGAAGGAGGAUUUAAUUGUAAGAAAAGAAAUAGUAAGAUUUUCUGAUAGAAGCUCUAAAUCAUGUACAUAUCGCCCGUCGCU